GGGAUGAGCCUUCAUUUUUCACUUAUAUUUUAUCUUCAUUUUUUUUUUUUUUGGAAAACUGAAUUCUUAUAGACUUGUUAGUAUGUUCUCAUUUUAAAUUUUAUUCUUAUAUUGAGUCUUCAUGAGGUAUCUGCAUUGUGUUGGAUUUUAUUCAUUUGUUUUUCUUUUAGUCUGAUUUUGUGGAGGGGGAUAAAAUUUCAAUUUAAUACCCCUCUGCUUAGAAGAAAGGGUUAUGCUCUUGGCUGAUGCAUGUGAAAUAAGUGUGGGUAGAAAAGAAAAAAAGGCAGAAAUAACAUACUGUAAUAUCCUGGUGGGCUGGUAUUUUGUCAAUUUUGAAUCUUUAAAUUCUGCAAGGUAUGACCUCACCUCCAGAAUAUUUAAGUGAGAGUGAGCUAAUUUUGCUUAUGGAGAAGAAUGGAAUCGACACAGAUGCAUCAAUAUCUGUUCAUAUUAACAACAUAUGUGAGCGCAAUUAUGUGCAAGUUUCUAUUCUCUUUCCUCUCUCUGCUGAAAAUUUGUUAAUAUCAUUUAAACUGGUUUUUACGAGACUUUUGUUUUGCUUUACAUUUAACUGGCAGGUACAAUCUGGCAGGAAGUUGGUUCCAACUGCCUUAGGUAUUACUCUAAUAAGAGGCUAUCAAUGUAUUGAUCCAGAUCUCUGUUUGCCAGAUAUCCGCAGUUUAUUGAGCAGUAGAUUACUCUUGUUGCUAAGGGUCAAGCAGAUCUGAAUGUUUUUAUGAAUAGUUGGUUUUCAAUGUCCUUGAACUCAAUCUCCCCAAUAGCAAGAACAAUAGGAAAGAACAGGACCCAUAUAUAUAUAUAUAUAUAUAUAUCAUUGUGUUUCAUUGAACAAAGCAAGUUAGUUCAAGAACUAAUGUCUCUGAUUCAAAAUCCAAAACCGCCAAUGCUCUCUGAUUGCUGGAACUCAUUUUACUGAGGUGCAUAUAGAGGGGCUCAGGGUCAAGAAGAUGGAGAUAUAGUUGUGGGUUUCUCUCUGAAGAGUCUUCUGAGAUAAUGUUUUCUAUUCUGAAAUGGAAAUGGUCAUGGUCUAUGACUCUAUGAUACCGGCGAUUACUUCUAUUGUGGGAUUGGUUUCACUAAUGUUGGCUUCAAAAGUUCAUCUGUUCUUCUUUCCAUUAGUUCCUUCUUUCGAGUACUUUAGUCAAACUCAUAACUCUUGUGUCCCAAUCAAUGCUUCCACUGAAGCAAUUACGGAUCAUUUUAGGGGAAAUUAAGAACCUCCUAUUGACUUAGAAAAUCAUUUUCCAGCUGACUUGCACAAGGCAGUUGUUUUUCGUGGAGCACCAUGGAAGGCAGAGAUUGGCCGGUGGCUUACUGGUUGUGGCUCAAUUUCUAAUAAAGUCAACAUUGUGGAGUUAAUAGGUGG